GCUCUCAUCUUUCUUUAAGGCUGUGGUUUUCAGUAUGCAUACUGCCACUUGAGAAGAACUGCUUCCGAGUGUAGUCAGAAGAUUAGGAUUGAAAGUGCUGGGUCUGCCACUAUAUCAUUUUGGUGGCUUUUCUUUGAAGAUCAAUCAGGUGAACUAGGAGCCCCUCCGGAUUUCGUAAAAGGGUUACCCUUCGUAAAAUGGCUGGUGACAGAACAUGCAGCGUAUUACUUACCUCUAUAUGAUUGUAACAAAUGAUUUGAUAUACCAUCUGGGAUGGGAGCUCCCUUUCUUCGCCUUGGAAUCACUAAACGGGACGAUGUGUGCCGCCGUGCCAGCCUUCUUAGUUGUAAUCAAAGAAGAUAAUUAUUUCUCACAAAGCACAAAGUGUAUAAGGUUUCACUACCAAUGGUGUUGUUCCAUGGUCUACAGCUCUGCAAUGUGAAUGAUGGGUAUCAUAUUUAUAUUUUACACAUUGGCGAGUCCCUUUUCUGUAUAAGCCAAAUUA